rnacentral:rRNA from 1 species
AACGAACGCUGGCGGCAUGCCUAACACAUGCAAGUCGAACGGGAUCCUAGCUUGCUAGGUGAGAGUGGCGGACGGGUGAGUAACACGUGGGAAUCUGCCUUUUGGUUCGGGAUAACCGCGGGAAACUGCGGCUAAUACCGAAUGCCCUCGUGAGAGGAAAGAUUUAUCGCCAGAAGAGGAGCCCGCGUCCGAUUAGGUAGUUGGUGGGGUAAAGGCCUACCAAGCCGACGAUCGGUAGCUGGUCUGAGAGGAUGAUCAGCCACACUGGGACUGAGAUACGGCCCAGACUCCUACGGGAGGCAGCAGUGGGGAAUAUUGGACAAUGGGGGCAACCCUGAUCCAGCAAUGCCGCGUGAGUGAUGAAGGCCUUAGGGUUGUAAAGCUCUUUUGCCAGGGAAGAUGAUGACUGUACCUGGAGAAUAAGCCCCGGCUAACUUCGUGCCAGCAGCCGCG